rnacentral:rRNA from 1 species
GAUGAACGCUGGCGGCGUGCCUAAUACAUGCAAGUCGAGCGAACGGACGCGAAGCUUGCUUCUCUGAUGUUAGCGGCGGACGGGUGAGUAACACGUGGAUAACCUACCUAUAAGACUGGGAUAACUUCGGGAAACCGGAGCUAAUACCGGAUGAUAUUUUGAACCGCGUGGUUCAAAAGUGAAAGACGGUCUUGCUGUCACUUCUAGAUGGAUCCGCGCUGCAUUAGCUAGUUGGUAAGGUAACGGCUUACCAAGGCAACGAUGCAUAGCCGACCUGAGAGGGUGAUCGGCCACACUGGAACUGAGACACGGUCCAGACUCCUACGGGAGGCAGCAGUAGGGAAUCGUCCGCAAUGGGCGAAAGCCUGACGGAGCAACGCCGCGUGAGUGAUGAAGGGCUUCGGAUCGUAAAACUCUGUUAUUAGGGAAGAACAUAUGUGUAAGUAACUGUGCACAUCGUGACGGUACCUAAUCAGAAAGCCACGGCUAACUACGUG